CUUAUUCUGCCAGAGAUUUCAGCAGGCAUGCGAGGAAUCUGCACGAUGGUUGGCAAAAGGAGACCCGUUGCCUCCUGUAACCAGACACUCUGGCUUUCCAGGAGCCCAGGGAGAGAGCCGAGAAGAAAGGGGGCACUGUGGUCUAGGAGAAUUCAACUUGUCGCUGAUUUGUGCCUGACGCCUGCUGUCCGUCAGCAGCCUCCCUUACAAUCUUUUUUGCUCUCCCCCCCACCCCCUUUUUUCCUUGCCUUCUCCUUCUUCACUGAAGCCUAGGGGAGCCAGUAAAGAUUAAAUGUGCUUUCUCAAAGGCAGCCACUUCACGCUGCUAUGUCGCAAGGGCCAUUAUUAGUAUUAUUUUUAAUAGUAAAAGAAAGGAGCGAGAGACACACUGAGAGAAUCUAGGGACGAUGACGGACUAGCGUUUCCGAGACGAAAAGGCAAGGGGAAGGUAGAGAAAAAGGAGAGACCCCGAGCUGAUCGGAGGAUUGUGCGUGAGAAGAACCUGCCGAGCAUGAGCUACAGAGUUACAGUCUUAGAGUCGGUGUAUGGCUUCCUGCCCCCGCCUCUCCCUCCCCACCCCUGCUCUCCGUGCCUGUGGAAACACCUCGCCCAGCCGAGCGCGCGGCUGCGCGCUCACACUCCCCCCCACCCGCUCGGGAUGGUGCCACCGGAGGCUGUGCAGCCCGGCUCCACUUCGGAUGGAAUCUGCUUUAUUGCAAAUUCCUAAUGAAACAGACAUCUCAGCCCAAACCUGUUACCUUUUCUCAGUGAUUUUCAUCCAUAGUCCUGAGAGAAAAUCGGGGAGCGCAUGUGAAAUUGUAUUCACUAAGAACUGAGUUCUUUGUUCUGUUUUUGAGCCAAAACUUCUGCGGGAAAUUUUCAUACUUUUAUGAAACAGCAAGUUUUAUGCUCUUUAUUGUUAAACUCUUACAACUGAUAAAAUGAUCCCCAAGUGAUUUUAUGACCAAAAUGCUUCUCCCCUCAUUAGUCUACCAUGACUGUAAUAGCACAUGGAAAGAUAGGCCUAAUGCAAGAAAUGAAUGGGCCCUAACUAUCAUGGACCAGAUUUGUGUGUUUCUAAAGCGAAGAAUUCUGCACACUGUCAAGGAGACGUAAACUACUGUCUAAACUACUGAUGCUGCUGCCUUUUUGCUCUGUUGCCUUUUCAAGUCUUCAGCGUAAAAGAGCAAUCGCAGUUCGGUUUCACAUGUAUUGUUCUAUAAUCCAGGCAAUAAAUGCUAAUUAGUAAUGCUCAAGGAUCCGACCAUUCAGGGUAAUUAUCAUAAUUUACUUCUUCCUUGUUAAAGGCAUUCCUUGCUGAUUUAAAAAAAAAUUAAAUUGUCGUUUUACCAUUGCACUGCAGUGGAAAUGCACUGGGGAGAUGUUCAAGGUAUAGCAAAACUGUUGUGGCUGCAUUCAGAGUCACCAACAUGUGCCUCUUAGCUUAUUCCAAAUGGAAUUGCAACUUAAUCUCCAAAAAGAAAUUCAUGUAAAUGCAUAAAGUUUUGCGUGUGUGCCAGGAAUGUAUGAUUUUAUUUUACAAACCUCACAGCUCCUCCUUCUCGGCCCAUCCCCUCUCUGAAACCACUUACUGAGCAGAACAAAGGAAACUGCUAACUAUAGAGGCAUCAUUAAGUAUGAACAGCAACAGCAUGAUAAAGCAUGUGAUAUGACAACAUAUUUCAUUCCACAAAAGUGUAGAUAAUUAAAUAAUUCAAUAGUAACCCUGACUAAUUAGCAAAAAGAUCUUAAAGGCAGAAUCAAGAAAAUGGAGCCAAUCAACUUGAAUAAUAUGCCUCAUUCUCCAAGAUCACCAAUAUAUUUUUGUUAUUUGAUGAUUGAUUGAUUCAUGCAGAAUGAUGGGGACAAAAGCCCAUUUCUCAAAGCAGAGCUUUGAGGUAGAGUCCUCUGUAGGACAAAUUAAUCAGCUAUUUUGGAAGGGCUGAGUUGAAUGCAGGGUUUUCUGCAUUCAAUCAAAGGUGUAAUCUGCUAUUCUGAGGCACAUUUCUCUUUAUCGGUUGAUCUAAAAAGAUUAUCGAUCCUUAACUCAUCUUUUCAUACCAUUGCUUCAGAGUAUAUGUGUAGCCUGCCCCAUAUUUUCAAUAGAGGCAAUAUUUAAGUUUGUUUCUUGUUGCUUGAGGCAAAUAAGUGUCACAUGUAUAGAAGAACCAGAAUGCUGGAUAUUAUAGAUGGUGGGACCCUCCCCCUUCCUUUAUCAAGGUAAUAUUCCCAAUGUUCAUUGUUCAUUGGUCCUUUAAGAGAGAGCUUCAGCUUUGACUUGAGGGUUGUAAGCACAUUAAGGGGAAUAAUUCCCUUUGGAUACCAUACAGAAGGAGCCACCUGCAAAAUGUUGAUGCUGUUAUUGAAGUCUCAAGUGGAAUCAGCUUUCAAAAAAUUAGAUAUUAGAUACAUCCGAUAUAAUUUGCAAUGUGUAAUUAUACUAAUGUGCAUAUAGUUGUGUGUUGCUUUACAUGUUGCCUACUUGAGUUUCUCCCCUCCUCCCCUUGAGCAUUUCUCAUCAUUUGAAAUGACUCCUGAAUAGAAUGUUUUUUAAAGUCAGCUUAAUUUUAAAAAAACUUCUCAUUAAUUACUAUAAAAAUAAAGAAAACUUUAUGGUCUAUGUUUGUAUGCAAAAAUGAAUUUAUAGGACCUCAAUGUUAGAAAUUAAUGACCUCAAAAAGAUUUAUCAUUGCGGACAGUGGCAUUAUUUGUAAAAUAUUUGAUACUCUUUAUUGAUUUGCGCCUCAUCCUGACUUUGGACAACAUGAAGUAAUGCAGAAUGUCAGAAUAGUAAAUCUUACUCAUAAGAAAUCCAUUUCCUUUGUUAGAAUAAUGAGAUAAAAUGCCAGAGAAAUGACCUCAGGCAGAGAUCAUAAUUGUAAUUUAACCAAAGUGAUCAAAAUAAGAUCAAUAAUAAACAAUUUCUUUUAUUUUCCCCUUCAUUUUGUAUGGCACAUGAUGCAUACUGAAAUUCGACUUUAGGUCAUUUAGGCAUGAACACACCUUCCUUUUUGUUGUCUCAGCUUAACACCACAAAUCUACUGAUGGCCCCACCAGAGCAUAGCUGACCCUCCAAGCAGCUGACCCCUGAAGAUCUAACUAUUAAGAAACAACCCAUGCAGAGUCACUUCGAGUUGAUUGGUCAGCCUGAUACUUAACCAUGUCAGUAGUUGAAGAAGCUCUUGAUGUAAAUUCACAGAAUCAUUAUCAUCAGCUCACAGAGGGACUCUGAGCAAGGCGGUACAAAGGUUCCAAGUUAUGCUCAUGUAUUUGGGAAACAGAAAGAAUACCAAGGGAGGUUCUUGUUGAGAAGAUGCAAGAUACUAUCUAUAUAUUCCAAUUAAGUAGGCAUGGGGACCCCAAAAAACUGAUUUGUAAAAUGUUUGAUCAUAAUAGACACUUAGAAUAUGGUCAUUUACAUAUUUAUAUUAUUCAUUCCUCAACAUGCAUUUUAAUGUCGCAAUCAGUGUUACAAAACAGACAUUUUACAUGGGCUAUACCUAUGCAGCACCAAGGCAGUAUGUUAGUAAGCUUUUUGCCUGCCCAUGUAUUUAAGGACUCUCCAAUAAUAGUGAUCUGAAUGAGUCUCAGAGAACAAUGAUGUGGAACACCCUUAAUACAAUCACAUUUUAAUUUAUUCACAAAUGAGUCUUACACAUAUGGAUCAAAAACAUAACACCCCAUCCUCUUAUCAAAUGUUCAGAAAGUCAUCAAUUCUUUAAUCUGUGAGAUGUACAUUUAAUUACUCAUCCAGCAUCAAUUUUUGCAUAUUUGAUUAGAACAGAGAACUAACAAUCUUUAGCACUAUGUUAUUUUAUGGGUUAAAGAAAAAAAUAUAAUAUACAUGCCAUCCAGACAGCCAACACCCUCAGCGUGUCCAAAGCACUGUGAUAUGCCCUAGUAUAUCCCUGUUGGUGUGCCUAACUCAUUAUGCAUCUUCAUUAGCUAAGCAGAAUAAAGAGGAUGAUAAUAAAGACUUCAGUUAAUGAAAAUCUGCCUGCAAAGUUUACUUCAUUCACAAUAAUGUUUGUAACAUAAAAGAGCAACAUUUAUCCAACUCUUCUCGGAUAUCCUUAUCUGUAAAAUGAGUUGAUUGGAGUCGUUGGGCUCUAAAAUCUUCUCCAGCUCUAAGGAUUUUUGAAGCUUUUCAAAAGUGUGGAGGCAGAGGAGCAGCUCCAGGACCCAUGAUCCGGAGUCUAUUUGUGCUCACAGUUGCCCUUCAGUGUUAUAUUUGCUUCCACCUCCACGUUCUGUAUUUACUAACAUACUUUGCCUCGAUGCUAAAAUAGUGAAGACUGGAGUUCAUUUUCAGGAAGGGGCAGUGACAGAAAAGAACAACAGCUGAGGAAUGAAAAAAGCUACACAGUGGGAGAAGCAAAUUCUUGAUGAGUUCUAAGUCCAUUUCCUUCAGUGUUCACCGGAGAAACCCAGACAAGCACCUGCUGUUCUAUUCUAAGACCAUAGUCUCUGCUCCUUCUGCCUUUCAUGUACUUUCUUAUAAUCACCCCCCAUUGGAUUGACACCGUUCAGUUUCAUGUUUUCCCUUCACUUGAUUCAUUUGUCUCAUGCUAAUAUUCCCUUCAGAAGCCUGUGACAGUUACAUUAAUACAACACACUUCCGAAUUAAAUCUGAACAUGUUCAAAGCCACAAGGAAACUGCCCCACCCCAUUGUCUACAACUCCGCAUGUGGAAUUCAGUGAACCUGGCCUCCAUGUCUUUGAAUACGCUCACAGUCUGCUUUUCCAUUGUGCACACUCUGUCUCUCUACCUCUCCAACGUUUCAGAAACCUUUUUCUUUCUCUCUCUCCCUUCCUCUCCCUUCCUUUUUCUUUCUCUCCCUCUCUCCCUCUUCCCUUUCUUUCUCCCUUCCCUUCCCGCCCAAGCACCAUUUGCCGUGUUCUGUGCCAGACACUGGAAAUACAAAGAUGUAUACAAAGAAUUGACAGUUUACACCUAACAAUUCUGGUAGCUUCGUGUGCUCCUGCAGUACUAAGCAGUGAGAUAUAGCCUUUGGAUUUAUUUGCAUGUGUCCUCGAUUGUCCGGUGUUCUUUUGUUCUUUCCCCGUGUGUCCUGUUUCAGUAAGUUCCCUAUGGGAUAAACCUGAAGCUUCUCUUACAGAGCCUUUUCUCCCAGAGCGAUCUCAGUGGUGCUCUCUCACAAACACUCGGGCAGCACCAUGGCUUGAUGGAUUCUUGAUCGAGACGAACAAUGGGAAAACGCUACCGUUGGCUCACGAUGCAGCAUUCAGCUUGUGGUUAGAAAUAGCGUGGUCCCCAAAGUAUGGUUCCAGCUGCUUAUUUUUCUGAGUCACUCGGAUAACUUUCUAUGAUGUGUUCUCUUAUUUUUUGAGUUAUAUUGAUGUUCUUUCAGCUGCCCUCUUUUAGCCCCCUCCCCAGAAAUUUCUCCCCAGUGAAAGGAUGGAGACUACAGUGGCUGCUGUGUUGAUGGACCCUCCAGCCAGCUAUGACCUUGAAACAAAGAGAGUGCUCAGCUGAAGACGCCUCACCUGUCAAGCAGCCCACCCAAAUGGUGCAGAAAAAGGCACUGAUUCUCUCAGAAUAAGAAGCCAUCUUUUCAAGAAACCAUUAAAAAAAAAAAACUUAAUGACGUCAUCUAGAUGUCUAAUGAGCCAAGAACAUUCCCUCCCUUGCGUGUAUUCCUCUGUUGGUAUUCAAAUUCAUGUGACAUUCAGUUUUUCCUAGUAUUGAUAUGCUUAUGAAUACACUAGUUUUAAAAUCUAAAGUUGCACAAAUGUGUCCAUGUUUUAGGGAACAAAAUAGUGCUCCAUGUUUGAUCUUAAGAGUGACCUAAAGACUAAAAAAUGCAUUUGUACUAGCAAGAUAGUCAGAGGCAAUUCAAAGGGUAAAAUAAUAGUAGAACUCAGACUGGCAUAUAGAAAUAUCACAUUAUUCCACCUGACACCAGCCAGUCAACCAUUCUUUUUAUCAAGCAAGUUUGGUUCUGUGAGAUGUAAGCAACUGCUUUUAAAGCACUUAUAUCCAGUUAGACAAAAUUAUAUGACCUUUUAGAAAGAUAAGUAAUGGAUCCUUUCAGUAGAUGAGAAGAACAAAAAUAGAACAAAAUAUGUAAACAACUUCUCAGAGGCAGUGACCAUGAGUGGGAAAAACUGAGGAAAAUAUAAGACACCUCAUAGGGUGUCAGACAUUUAGAAAAAUGGGAAGGAAGAGAGAAAUAGACUCCUUUAGGUAAAUGCAAUGUUGUGAGCAAAGCCUAAGAGGACGAAAUCCACACGGUGAGUGCAAGGGGUUAUGAAAAAGCAGGUCCAGAUGACCUAACCCUGGACAUUCAAGACAUCUCUCUUCCUGUACACAUACUUCCCAAAUCCUUCCCCGAAUGUCACUUAGAAUUUGAAUCAUAUUUUCCACUAGAUCAAGUGAAGGUAAACAGCAAUGAUAUGGAGAAUUUAGGAUUUUUCUGUUAAUCUGGAAGCAAUUGGUAUUUAUUGAGUUCUCACUGUAUGUUAAGUAUUAUGCAUAUUAACUUAAGCCUUAUAACAACUGUUUAAAAUAGGUAUUAUUAUCCCUCAUUUUACAAGAAAAAUGAUGUUGAACGAGAUUGAGUAACUUGCCAAUGUGCUAUUUAUGGGAUUCACAUUGUGAUUGCCAAGUUCAUGGUAUAAAGGACUAAGUUACAGUAUUGUGAUCAACGCCACAAUAUUGCCACUUUUUCUAUAUAUUCUGCAGUAAACAAAUAGCUUUUUCAUUUAAUUAUCACCUGAAAUUUUUCAGUUUCUGCUUAAAUUGCACUAAAGCAAUUGAAUGUAUUUCCAUGAUAGAAAAUGUAAAAAUUUGGGGAGUAGGACUUUGUCAUCAUUUUAGACAUUGUUGAUGCUUUUUCAUGAAAUCUCAAAGUCCUUAAGAGAAAAAAGAAGACACUUUGUGUCACAUAUUGUAAGAUCCAUUUGUACAGACAAGAUAAAUCUUUAGUCAGUGAAUUUAGAGUUGCCUUACAGGGAGCUCUCACAUCUGGAUGUGGGAGAGCAAGGACCAGAACCAACCCUCUAGUCCACUCUGUGGCUCUUACACUACUCUAACCUGCCUAAAUGAAGCAUGAACUUGAAUUUGUUCAAAGGAAACAUUCUGUUUUGGUAAUCAGGGAGCAUUGUGCCUAGUAGAUUGCUUCAGUUCUGCACCUCUUUGGCAUCCCACCUCAAUGUGAAAAUCUCUAGCCAUGAGCCACCAUCUUUAGAUUCAGAAAUUGUUAGUGAUAUAUCACCAAAGAAUACAUAAUGGACAAAGUUUUUGUGUACAAUGUCUUCAGUGAUUUUUUUUAUGUUAUUUGGAAUUCUUAAAUUUCACCUAAAUAAAUCAGAUCUUCUAAAGAGCAUCUUCGCCAGCUUUCCCUAAGCACAGAAUAUAUUUGUAAGGGAUUCUGCCUUAAUGUUAACACAUGAUUGUUUCAAUAGUGCAUUAGAUUUUUAAGCUAUUAAGUCACUUGCUGUUAUAAUCCUCAUGUAACUAGCUUAAGAAUACUUCAUCCAUACAAAGCUAGAACUGAGGAUAGUUCCCUAUUUUAACCAGCUCCUUUGCAUUGGGUUGGCAUUUAGUGAUGAUUAACAAGGUGGCCAGUGGGAUCUCUUAGAAGUUCAAAAUGCAAUUCUGUCUUGCAGAAGGUCAAGUAAGCUGGGUUUACUUCAGGGCAGACAUCAGGACAAAAAUGCUUUGACGUGCCUGAAUAUUUGAUUGUUGUAAAUUUUCUCUUCUAUAUCCAAGAUUAUCAGACUUAGAUCUCUCCUUAGCUCUGGUUGUCUUGUUUUCAAAGUGGUGAUUGUGGGCCAUAUUUUCACACAGUUCUCAUUAAGGGAGUUCAAAAAUAAACAGGAUCCUUUUUUUUAAAGACUAAUCAAGCAGAAAGUGUGACUUUGUUGAUAUUUUAUGAGUCUGUGUCAUUUGUCCCCAUCUCCCAAUAAAAGCAAUGUUGCAUCAA